UGCUGAGUUUCCCUUUGUAAUGGUGAA
rnacentral:piRNA from 1 species